rnacentral:rRNA from 1 species
CGCUCAGGAUGAACGCUAGCGGCAGGCCUAAUACAUGCAAGUCGAACGGUGUCUUCGGACAUAGUGGCGCACGGGUGCGUAACACGUAUGCAACCUACCUUACAUUGGGGGAUAGCCUUUCGAAAGGGAGAUUAAUACCGCAUAAGACAGUAGCUGGGCAUCCAGCAGCUGUUAAAGAUUUAUCGAUGUAAGAUGGGCAUGCGUCCAAUUAGUUAGUUGGCGAGGUAAUGGCUCACCAAGACUUUGAUUGGUAGGGGAACUGAGAGGUCAAUCCCCCACACUGGCACUGAGAUACGGGCCAGACUCCUACGGGAGGCAGCAGUAGGGAAUAUUGGGCAAUGGACGCAAGUCUGACCCAGCCAUGCCGCGUGCAGGAUGAAGGCGUUAUGCGUUGUAAACUGCUUUUAUACAGGAAGAAACGACUCUUGCGAGAGGCAUUGACGGUACUGUAUGAAUAAGCACCGGCUAACUCCGUG